rnacentral:rRNA from 1 species
AUUGAACGCUGGCGGCAUGCCUUACACAUGCAAGUCGAACGGCAGCACGGGAGCAAUCCUGGUGGCGAGUGGCGAACGGGUGAGUAAUAUAUCGGAACGUGCCCAGUCGUGGGGGAUAACGUAACGAAAGCUACGCUAAUACCGCAUACGAUCUAUGGAUGAAAGCGGGGGAUCGCAAGACCUCGCGCGAUUGGAGCGGCCGAUAUCAGAUUAGGUAGUUGGUGAGGUAAAGGCUCACCAAGCCGACGAACUGGAGCUGGUCUGAGAGGACGACCAGCCACACUGGGACUGAGACACGGCCCAGACUCCUACGGGAGGCAGCAGUGGGGAAUUUUGGACAAUGGGCGCAAGCCUGAUCCAGCAAUGCCGCGUGCAGGAUGAAGGCCUUCGGGUUGUAAACUGCUUUUGUACGGAACGAAACGGCGAGCUCUAAUACAGUUUGCUAAUGACGGUACCGUAAGAAUAAGCACCGGCUAACUACGUGCCAGCAGCCGCCGUAA